UACGGAGGAUCCAAGCGUUAUCCGGAUUUAUUGGGUUUAAAGGGUGCGUAGGCGGAUUGAUAAGUCAGUGGUGAAAGCCUGCAGCUUAACUGCAGAACUGCCAUUGAUACUGUCAGUCUUGAGUAUAUUUGAAGUGGGCGGAAUGUGCAGUGUAGCGGUGAAAUGCUUAGAUAUUGCACAGAACACCAAUUGCGAAGGCAGCUCACUAAACUAUAACUGACGCUGAGGCACGAAAGUAUGGGGAUCAAACAGG
rnacentral:rRNA from 2 species